rnacentral:rRNA from 1 species
CCUACGGGGGGCUGCAGUAAGGAAUAUUGGACAAUGGGCGCAAGCCUGAUCCAGCUAUGCCGCGUGAAGGAUGACGGCCCUAUGGGUUGUAAACUUCUUUUAGCAGGGAAAAAACCCCUCGAUGCGUUGAGGGCUGAUGGUACCUGCAGAAUAAGGAUCGGCUAACUCCGUGCCAGCAGCCGCGGUAAUACGGAGGAUCCAAGCGUUAUCCGGAUUUAUUGGGUUUAAAGGGUGCGUAGGCGGAUAAAUAAGUCAGUGGUGAAAGCCUGCAGCUUAACUGUAGAAUUGCCAUUGAUACUGUUUAUCUUGAAUGUAGUUGAGGUGGGCGGAAUAUGACAUGUAGUGGUGAAAUACUUAGAUAUGUCAUAGAACACCGAUUGCGAAGGCAGCUCACUAAGCUACGAUUGACGCUGAGGCACGAAAGCGUGGGGAGCAAACAGGCUUAGAUACCCCGGUAGUC